rnacentral:rRNA from 1 species
UUUCUAGUGCAAUAAUACUAGAUACGCCCUGCCCCACGUAAUUAAGUGGCCGCGGUACAAUAACCGUGCUAAGGUAGCAUAAUCAAUUGUUUAUUAAUUGUAAAAUUGAAUGAAAGGGUAAACAAAAUAAAGGCUGUCUCUUAUAAACACCUAUAAACUAUCCUCUUUAUGAAGAGAUAAGGAUAUAAUUAAAGGACAAGAAGACCCUGUAGAGCUUUUACAUAACCUUAACACAUAAGCUAAUGUUUGGUUGGGGCGACCUAAGAUAACAUAUAACAUCUUUAACAAAAUAAGAGCUACCACUCUAAAAAAUGAUCCAAAAUUGAUCAAUGAUUUAAGUUACCUCAGGGAUAACAGGCUGAUUAUUUUUAAGAGUUCUUAUCUAAAAAAUAGAUUGGCACCUCGAUGUUGGCUUAGGAAUACUAUAGCUCGCAAAAGAGUUCAUAGCUGGUUUGUUCAACCAUUAAUAUCCU